CGCACGGGUGAGUAACACGUAUCCAACCUGCCGUCUACUCUUGGACAGCCUUCUGAAAGGAGGAUUAAUACAAGAUGGCAUCAUGAGUCCGCAUGUUCACAUGAUUAAAGGUAUUCCGGUAGACGAUGGGGAUGCGUUCCAUUAGAUAGUAGGCGGGGUAACGGCCCACCUAGUCUUCGAUGGAUAGGGGUUCUGAGAGGAAGGUCCCCCACAUUGGAACUGAGACACGGUCCAA
rnacentral:rRNA from 1 species